rnacentral:rRNA from 1 species
GAUGAACGCUGGCGGCGUGCCUAAUACAUGCAAGUCGAGCGAACAGACGAGGAGCUUGCUCCUCUGACGUUAGCGGCGGACGGGUGAGUAACACGUGGAUAACCUACCUAUAAGACUGGGAUAACUUCGGGAAACCGGAGCUAAUACCGGAUAAUAUAUUGAACCGCAUGGUUCAAUAGUGAAAGACGGUUUUGCUGUCACUUAUAGAUGGAUCCGCGCCGCAUUAGCUAGUUGGUAAGGUAACGGCUUACCAAGGCAACGAUGGGUAGCCGACCUGAAAGGGUGGUCGGCCACACUGGAACUGAGACACGGUCCAGACUCCUACGGUAGGCAGCAGUAGGGAAUCUUCCGCAAUGGGCGAAAGCCUGACGGAGCGACGCCGCGUGAGUGAUGAAGGUCUUCGGAUCGUAAAACUCUGUUAUUAGGGAAGAACAAAUGUGUAAGUAACGAUGCACGUCUUGACGGUACCUAAUCAGAAAGCCACGGCUAACUACGUG